rnacentral:rRNA from 1 species
UACGGAGGGUGCAAACGUUGCUCGGAAUCAUUGGGCGUAAAGCGCACGUAGGCGGUCGUGACAAGUCACUUGUGAAAUCUCCGGGCUUAACUCGGAACGGUCAAGUGAUACUGUCGGACUAGAGUACAGAAGGGGCAACUGGAAUUCUCGGUGUAGCGGUGAAAUGCGUAGAUAUCGAGAGGAACACCUGCGGCGAAGGCGGGUUGCUGGGCUGAUACUGACGCUGAGGCGCGAAAGCCAGGGGAGCGAACGGG